UUCUUGGUCAUUUAGAGGAAGUAAAAGUCGUAACAAGGUUUCCGUAGGUGAACCUGCGGAAGGAUCAUUAAAGAAAUUUAAUAAUUUUGAAAAUGGAUUUUUUUGUUUUGGCAAGAGCAUGAGAGCUUUUACUGGGCAAGAAGACAAGAGAUGGAGAGUCCAGCCGGGCCUGCGCUUAAGUGCGCGGUCUUGCUAGGCUUGUAAGUUUCUUUCUUGCUAUUCCAAACGGUGAGAGAUUUCUGUGCUUUUGUUAUAGGACAAUUAAAACCGUUUCAAUACAACACACUGUGGAGUUUUCAUAUCUUUGCAACUUUUUCUUUGGGCAUUCGAGCAAUCGGGGCCCAGAGGUAACAAACACAAACAAUUUUAUCUAUUCAUUAAAUUUUUGUCAAAAACAAGAAUUUUCGUACCUGGAAAUUUUAAAAUAUUAAAAACUUUCAACAACGGAUCUCUUGGUUCUCGCAUCGAUGAAGAACGCAGCGAAAUGCGAUACGUAAUGUGAAUUGCAGAAUUCCGUGAAUCAUCGAAUCUUUGAACGCACAUUGCGCCCCUUGGUAUUCCAGGGGGCAUGCCUGUUUGAGCGUCAUUUCCUUCUCAAACAUUCUGUUUGGUAGUGAGUGAUACUCUUUGGAGUUAACUUGAAAUUGCUGGCCUUUUCAUUGGAUGUUUUUUUUCCAAAGAGAGGUUUCACUGCGUGCUUGAGGUAUAAUGCAAGUACGGUCGUUUUAGGUUUUACCAACUGCGGCUAAUCUUUUUUUAUACUGAGCGUAUUGGAACGUUAUCGAUAAGAAGAGAGCGUCUAGGCGAACAAUGUUCUUAAAGUUUGACCUCAAAUCAGGUAGGAGUACCCGCUGAACUUAAGCAUAUCAAUAAGCGGAGGAA
rnacentral:rRNA from 1 species